GCACUGGUGGUUCAGUGGCAGAAUUCUUGCCUGUCACGCGGAAGGCCCAGGUUCGAUUCCUGGCCAAUGCA